GACGAACGCUGGCGGCGUGCUUAACACAUGCAAGUCGAACGAAGAGCGAUGGAAGCUUGCUUCUAUCAAUCUUAGUGGCGAACGGGUGAGUAACGCGUAAUCAACCUGCCCUUCAGAGGGGGACAACAGUUGGAAACGACUGCUAAUACCGCAUACGAUCCAAUCUCGGCAUCGGGACUGGAUGAAAGGUGGCCUCUAUUUAUAAGCUAUCACUGAAGGAGGGGAUUGCGUCUGAUUAGCUAGUUGGAGGGGUAGCGGCCCACCAAGGCGAUGAUCAGUAGCCGGUCUGAGAGGAUGAACGGCCACAUUGGGACUGAGACACGGCCCAGACUCCUACGGGAGGCAGCAGUGGGGAAUCUUCCGCAAUGGACGAAAGUCUGACGGAGCAACGCCGCGUGAGUGAUGACGGCCUUCGGGUUGUAAAGCUCUGUUAAUCGGGACGAAUGGUUCUUGUGCGAAUAGUGCGAGGAUUUGACGGUACCGGAAUAGAAAGCCACGGCUAACUACGUG
rnacentral:rRNA from 1 species